AUCUUUGUAAUUUAUUAGAAUAGUCUACCAAAUGUCCUGGUGUUCACCCAAUUUGACAUUUUUAGAAUAUAUUCUACUCGCUCAUGAUGCUUGGCUCUUUAAAUAGAUUUCUGGAUUUGAUUUGCUCUUACACUUAGGACCUGGGAUCUGUAUUCAUAAGUGACAUUGGUUAUUUCUUUUUUCUUGGUGUGUCUGUGUAUACCAUUUAUGUUUGGUUUGGGUUAUGAUAGACACAGAAAUGAUCUUCCCUGGUGGCUCAGCAGGUAAAGAAUUCUUCCUGCAAUGUAGAUGUGAGAGAUGCAGUUUCAGUCCCUGGGUUGGACAUAUUCCCCUGGAGGAGAAAAUGGCAACCCACUCCUGUAUUUUUGCCUGAAAAAUCCCAUGGACAGAGGAGUCUGGCGGGCUACAGUCCAAGGGGUCACAAAGAGUCAGACAUUACUGAGUACACACAGCAACAAAACACAGAAAUGAGUUGGGAGUUAUUUCAUCUUUUCAAGAUCUGGGACAAGAUAAUGUAGAACAAAGAUACUCUCUCCCCUUGGAUAUUUGUUGUUAUUCCAUUACCGUGAAUUUGAGGCUUUUGAUGGAAAUUAUCCAUCUACUCUUAAUAGAAACUACAGAAAAAUGAGAUUAGCUGAGAAGGGCUGGUUAACCUAACUUUAGAGAAACAAAACUAAACAAAAAUAUAACAACAUUCAUGAAUACCGGAUAUGUAAUUGAUUGCAAUUGAUUGCUUAUUUUAGUGUUAAAUGUCCAUCUCUUAUGACCAGAAUCUGUCAGUACUUUGUUCAUUGAUAGAUUUUUAGUACCGAGAAUAGUGCCAAGCACAUGCUGCUGCUGCUGCUAAAUCGCUUCAGUCGUGUCCGGCUCUGUGCAACCCCAUAGACGGCAGCCCACCAGGCUCCCCCGUCCCUGGGAUUCUCCAGGCAAGGGUACUGGAGUGGAGUGCCAUUUAGUAGACCUUUAAUAAAUUUAUGUUCAUUAAAUAAAUGAAUAAGGUAAUAAAUGCCUUUUGUUUGGUUGGGAAUGGAUGUUUCUUUAGGGAGAUUUGAGAAAAUUCUAGGUAGUAUAAUUGUCUUUCAGAAUAUUUUAUUUUUAGCAACCUUUAUGUGAUACUGAAAAAAUAUAUAUGUAUAGACACUGUUUCUUAGAAAAGUUUAUGCAUGAUUAUAUUCUGUUUGAGAGUCCCUUGGACUGCUAGGAGAUCCAACCAGUCAAUCCUAAGGAGAUCAGUCCUGGGUGUUCAUUGGAAGGACUGAUGUUGAAACUGAAACUCUAAUACUUUGGCCACCUGAUGCAAAGAGCUGACUCAUUUGAAAAAACCCUGAUGCUGGCAAAGAUUGAGGGCAGGAGGAGAAGGGAACGACAAAGGAUGAUAUGGCUGGAUGGCAUCACCGACUCAAUGGACAUGGGUUUGGGGAAACUCCAGGAGUUGGUGACGGACAGGGAGGCCUGGCCUGCUGCGGUUCAUGGGAUCGCAAAGAGUCAGACAUGACUGAGCGACUGAACUGACUAACUGACUGAUAUUCUCUUUGUUCAGGUUUAUAAACUUCACUCUAUUUCAAUCCCAUACUGCUUUCUUAACUAAAUAUACUUUGGGAUCCAGUGGACAUAGGGAAGAACCGGCUGCAAUGAGAAAAUGCCAAUAACAACCUUCCAUAUGUUAUUUUCGGUGUCAUGCUUGUUAUGAAGUUAAGUUGUUCCUUCCUAUCACUAGAUAUCUUAAACUUUCUAAAGACAUAAAUCAGAAAUUUUUUAGGAAGACUAGGAUUUCUCCCAAAAGAGGAAAACCAUUUAAUUCUAAAGUAUAAUGAUUCAGCUGGUAAACAUCAUUAAAAAAUCAUUCUUGUUACUUUUAAUACAGUGGCAUGGAUUAAAUAGAGAGCAGUGCUUAUUUUAAAAAUACUUUAUAAUUUGUAAUAAAAGGGAAAAUCUAAGUUUUUCAUCUGUUACCUUGUUAAUCCCACAAAUCGUCAUAUUCCAUCUUGCCUUUUUUUCUUUAUGGAGUCUAUUUAUUCUUUUGGAAUAGACGCAUCUCCCUGAUCCCCAAUCACUUUUUCUUUCCUCUCCAUAGGUCCUGUUCAUGUUUCAAACUUUACCUACUUUUUGAAGACUCUUCUAUCCUCUGGUCUACUUUCUCCAGCUCUUCAUCAAAGCUCCAUUUUAGCAAUGAUAAUAUUUAUUAUAAUUCUAUUUCCAUUUUCCCCCUAGU
ensembl:lncRNA